rnacentral:tRNA from 1 species
GGUAGUAUAGCCCAGUGGUAGAGCGCGUGAUUAGCACGCACAAGGUCCUGGGUUCAAUCCCUAGUCCUCCA